UGCAAGCCCCAGGCUUGAAACUUGAUUUAAAAAAAAAAAUACAAGAUUGAAUUUCAGUUUGCAGGAUUAGGGAGAUGACUUUUAGGGGCUGCUUGUUGGAAAAAAAGGAAAGCAAAGCAGCUGGGAGGGAUUAGGCUGAGCUGGCGUCUGCACUUUCAACUGAUUCAAUUUUGCUCCACAAGACAUUGUAUCUGAGCCUUUCUGGAGACUAUUCAAAGCAAAUCAUUUUCAUUUUACCAUUUGUGAUGCUGAUUCAAAGUGUCAUCACUGUGAGCAAAGACCUUCAUCCUCGGUGAUUGGGGUCUGAAAGGAGGGGGCCCUACAGCCAAGAGAAGGUAUCAAGGAAAUUGGAAGGGCAUCCAGAGCAUCCAGGCUGGUCCAGGAGGUCAUCAGUAACCUGUGGAGACACUGAGGCCUCUCCCAUCCGUAUUCACCUACUAUGUGCAACUCAGCAGAUGGAGGAUGUAACAGGAGGAAAAAAACUACAAAGGUGGUGCCAUGGGGAUCCCAAAGGAUGGGGAGUGAUGGGGGCACAGAGGUGCUUGGGGUGCCACCCAGAGCACUUGGGCCAUGCUGCAAAAUAGAUGCAGCCCCGUUGUGAAGGGAAAAGUUCCUCUGGUAGGUGACUACUGCAGCCCCUGUUUGAAUUUCCUGGAUGUCAGGCACAGUUAAUGUCAGGGAGACAGAGGGAGAGCUGAAUUGUUGGCCCCAAUUCAACAAGGCACUUAAGCACAAGCUUAACUGUAAGUACGCACUUAAGUCCCUCCUUAUAUAGCAGAACAUAUGUUAACACCUCCUGAAGCCCGGGCUAAGUGCAUGCUCAAAGUUAAGCGUCUGCUUAAGAGCUUUGUUGAAUCAGGACUGUUGUUUACUUCCAACAAUUGAUGUCUCCUGGAGUGUCCACAGUUCCAGUUGCAAACCUCACGCAUCUGUUUUCUCUUACGAUUAUUAAUCGAGUCAUU
rnacentral:lncRNA from 1 species